AUUGAACGCUGGCGGCAGGCCUAACACAUGCAAGUCGAACGAGUGGCGGACGGGUGAGUAAUGUCUGUGAAACUGCCUGAUGGAGGGGGAUAACUACUAGAAACGGUCUCUAAUACCGCAUACCAUCGGAUGUGCCCAGCUGGGAUUAGCUAGUAGGUGUGGUAAAUGCGCACCUGGUCGACGAUCCAUAGCUGGUCUGAGAGGAUGACCAGCCACACUGGAACUGAGACACGGUCCAGACUCCUACGGGAGGCAGCAGGGGGGAAUAGUGCACAAUGGGCGAAAGCCUGAUGCAGCCAUGCCGCGUGUAUGAAGAAGGCCGUCGGGUUGUAAAGUACUUUCAGCGGGGAGGCGUUACCCGCAGAAGAAGCACCGGCUAACUCCGUGCCAGCAGCCGCGGUAAUUC
rnacentral:rRNA from 1 species